UACGGAGGAUCCGAGCGUUAUCCGGAUUUAUUGGGUUUAAAGGGUGCGUAGGCGGCCUAUUAAGUCAGGGGUGAAAGACGGUAGCUUAACUAUCGCAGUGCCUUUGAUACUGAUAGGCUUGAAUGUACUUGAGGUAGGCGGAAUGUGACAAGUAGCGGUGAAAUGCAUAGAUAUGUCACAGAACACCAAUUGCGAAGGCAGCUUACUAAAGUAUGAUUGACGCUGAGGCACGAAAGCGUGGGGAU
rnacentral:rRNA from 1 species